CCGGCGCACGGGUGAGUAACACGUAUCCAACCUUCCGUUUACUCGGGGAUAGCCUUUCGAAAGAAAGAUUAAUACCCGAUAGUAUGUUUUUCCCGCAUGGGAGAACCAUUAAAGUUUUUCGGUAAUCGAUGGGGAUGCGUUCCAUUAGGCAGUUGGUGAGGUAACGGCUCACCAAACCUUCGAUGGAUAGGGGUUCUGAGAGGAAGGUCCCCCACAUUGGAACUGAGACACGGUCCAAACUCCUACGGGAGGCAGCAGUGAGGAAUAUUGGUCAAUGGACGAGAGUCUGAACCAGCCAAGUAGCGUGAAGGAUGACUGCCCUAUGGGUUGUAAACUUCUUUUAUAUGGGAAUAAAAGAGCCUACGUGUAGGUUUUUGUAUGUACCAUACGAAUAAGGAUCGGCUAACUCCGUGCCAGCAGCCGCGGUAAUACGGAGGAUCCAAGCGUUAUCCGGAUUUAUUGGGUUUAAAGGGAGCGUAGGUGGAGGCUUAAGUCAGUUGUGAAAGUUUGCG
rnacentral:rRNA from 1 species